AACAGGUCGAAGAGAAGAGAGCCGUAGUCAUGCAGGAUCUAUGGCAAGUUAUUUCAAAGCUGCCCUAAACUCCGUAGUUCUUCCGGAGUAUAGUUCGCUUGGGGGUUUGUCUAAUAUAUGUUUACACUGUAAAGCAAAACAUUUCGGAAGUGAAAAGGUAAGAAAUGGCUUUACGACAUGUUGUCAUGGCGGAAAAGUUAAACUUCAAG